rnacentral:lncRNA from 1 species
CCGACAACACCUCCACAGCUCCGUGAACGGUGGACAAAUCUAACUUUCUGUUUUUAUUUUAUUUUAAUUUUAAUUUUCCCAGGUGGCAGUUUGAGACACUUGUCAAUUUGCAUGAAUUGCCAAGUGGAUACAGCCGAUUAGACCAUUUGGUAACUUGCUUAGCUCACUAUUUUAUUAUUUUUUUUUUGUCAAUUUCUAAUAUGUUGC